UAAGUGAGUUAAAUAAGUCCUUCUUGAUGUC
rnacentral:piRNA from 1 species